AACGCGAAGAACCUUACCUAGCCUUGACAUGCAUUGGACCGGCGCUGAAAGGCGCCUUUCCCGCAAGGGACCGGUGCACAGGUGCUGCAUGGCUGUCGUCAGCUCGUGUCGUGAGAUGUUGCGUUAAGUCGCGCAACGAGCGCAACCCCUGUCCCUAGUUGCCACCAUUCAGUUGGGCACUCUAGGGAGACAAACCCUCUUUGAGGGUGGGAAGGUGGGGAUGACGUCAAGUCAGGAUGGCCUUUAUGGCUAGGGCUGCACACGUGCUACAAUGCCCGGUACAGAGGGAAGCAAGACCGCGAGGUGGAGCAAAUCCCGAAAACCGGGCCCAGUUCAGAUUGUAGUCUGCAACUCGACUACAUGAAGUUGGAAUCGCUAGUAAUGGCGUAUCAGCUACGACGCCGUGAAUACGUUCCCGGGCCUUGUA
rnacentral:rRNA from 1 species